GAUGAACGCUAGCGGCAGGCUUAACACAUGCAAGUCGAGGGGCAACACGGGUAGCAAUACCUGGUGGCGACCGGCGCAAGGGUGCGUAACGCGUGAGCAACAUGCCCUAUACAGGGGGAUAAUCCAGGGAAACUUGGUCUAAUAUCCCAUAGUAUUUAGAGGUGGCAUCACCACUAAAUUAAAGCUUCGGUGGUAUAGGAUUGGCUCGCGUGACAUUAGCUGGAUGGUGGGGUAACGGCUCACCAUGGCGAUGAUGUCUAGGGGUUCUGAGAGGAAGACCCCCCAACUGGGACUGAGACACGGCCCAGACUCCUACGGGAGGCAGCAGUGAGGAAUAUUGGACAAUGGAUGGAAAUCUGAUCCCAGCCAUGCCGCGUGCAGGAAGACGGCCCUAUGGGUUGUAAACUGCUUUUAUAUGGGAGCAAUAAGGUUUACGCGUAGACCGAUGGAGAGUACCAUAUGAAUAAGCAUCGGCUAACCGUG
rnacentral:rRNA from 1 species